CCGCCAUGAUUGUUUGCCGAUUAAAACGUUGUUUCUAACCAUUUUGGUUACGUAAGGAUAACCGGAGUACGGUAUUGUCGGAGCAGGUCGUGUCGUGGUUACUCGCAAAGAACAUUAUAUAGAAUUCAAUGCAUAGAAUAUCCGAUAUCAUUUCGAUUUCCUUAAAAUUGGUCAUUCGUGGGCGUAUUGCAUAUUUGCAUUGCGCAGGCUACAAUUUUGUAAAACAGACAACAUUACAACAGUCAAUGUUCAACAGAGCAAGUUAACGAUCGCAGCCUCACAAGAUCUAAAGAAUUACAGCGGCAGCCUGCAGCUGAUGACAACGUAUGCGCACAUUGUACAGUGCGACCACUGAACAACAUUAAAUGCUAUCGGCUCUUAAGUGUCAGGAUAUAGGAAAUUCCUGUAAUAUGUCUAAGAGCAAUUCAAGACUUUGCCUUUGGUAUAUAGCUGUUGUACCAGUAAUUGCAGUACAAAGUCCUUCUACAAUGCAGUACCAUACUCUCAAUAUACCACAGGGUUGAUCAAUUUCUUCUAAAAGUACAACUUCAUUUUUUGAAUCUUCAAUAGAUAAUUGAUUAUAAUUUUCAUUUUGAAUAUUUUGUAAUUCGGGCACAUCGUUAUCAACCAAAGUAAAGACGUGGUUUCUAAAUAAAAUUUAUGUGAAUAUUAAAAAGACAUUACAUUAAGGUUUGUUAUAUCAUCUCUACUUAGUGUACUAAGUAUUUAAUAUACCUAUAUAAUUCUUUA